AUACGUAGGUGACAAGCGUUAUCCGGAUUUACUGGGCGUAAAGGGCGUGUAGGCGGUCUUGCAAGUCAGAAGUGAAAUUCCUGAGCUCAACUCGGGCGCUGCUUCUGAAACUGCAGGACUUGAGUGCAGGAGAGGAAAGUGGAAUUCCCAGUGUAGCGGUGAAAUGCGUAGAGAUUGGGAGGAACACCAGUGGCGAAGGCGACUUACUGGACUGUAACUGACGCUGAGGCGCGAAAGUGUGGGGAGCAAACAGGAUUAGAUACCCUGGUAGUCCACACUGUAAACGAUGAAUGCUAGGUGUAAGAGGUAUCGACCCCUUUUGUGCCGGAGUCAACACAAUAAGCAUUCCGCCUGGGGAGUACGGCCGCAAGGUUGAAACUCAAAGGAAUUGACGGGG
rnacentral:rRNA from 1 species